rnacentral:rRNA from 1 species
UGGGGAAUAUUGGGCAAUGGGCGAAAGCCUGACCCAGCGACGCCGCGUGGGUGAUGAAGGCCUUCGGGUUGUAAAGCCCUGUCAUGCGGAAAGAACGACCCUGAGACGCAUACUCUCAGGGAGUGACGGUACCGCAGGAGGAAGCACCGGCUAACUCCGUGCCAGCAGCCGCGGUAAUACGGAGGGUGCAAGCGUUGUUCGGAAUUAUUGGGCGUAAAGGGCGCGUAGGCGGUAAUGUAAGUCAUAUGUGAAAUACUCCGGCUCAACCAGAGAACAGCAUCGGAAACUGCUUAACUAGAGUACAGAAGAGGGAAACGGAAUUCCCGGUGAGGGGGUGAAAUUCGUAGAUAUCGGGAGAAACACCGGUGGCGAAGGCGUUUUCCUGUUCGGAUACGGACGCGGGGGCGCAAAAGCGUGGGAGCAAACAG